rnacentral:rRNA from 1 species
UACAGAGGGGGCAAGCGUUGUUCGGAAUUACUGGGCGUAAAGGGCGCGUAGGCGGCCUGCUAAGUCGAACGUGAAAUCCCUGGGCUCAACCCAGGAACUGCGUCCGAUACUGGUUGGCUUGAAUCCGGGAGAGGGAUGUGGAAUUCCAGGUGUAGCGGUGAAAUGCGUAGAUAUCUGGAGGAACACCGGUGGCGAAGGCGACAUCCUGGACCGGUAUUGACGCUGAGGCGCGAAAGCCAGGGGGGCAAACGGG